GCGCACCAGUCGAGAAUUUUUCUCAAUGGGGGAAACCCUGAAGGAGCGACGCCGCGUGGAGGAUGAAGGCUUUCGGGUUGUAAACUCCUGUCAUUUGAGAACAAGUGGCCGAACGUAACUACUUCGGCCUUGAUAGUAUCAGAAGAGGAAGGGACGGCUAACUCUGUGCCAGCAGCCGCGGUAAUACAGAGGUCUCAAGCGUUGUUCGGAUUCAUUGGGCGUAAAGGGUGCGUAGGUGGCGCCGUAAGUCGGGUGUGAAAUUUCGGAGCUUAACUCCGAAACUGCAUUCGAUACUGCGGUGCUUGAGGACUGGAGAGGAGACUGGAAUUUACGGUGUAGCAGUGAAAUGCGUAGAGAUCGUAAGGAAGACCAGUGGCGAAGGCGGGUCUCUGGACAGUUCCUGACACUGAGGCACGAAGGCCAGGGGAGCAAACGGGAUUAGAUACCCGCGUAGU
rnacentral:rRNA from 1 species